rnacentral:rRNA from 1 species
AACGAACGCUGGCGGCAUGCCUAACACAUGCAAGUCGAACGAGACCUUCGGGUCUAGUGGCGCACGGGUGCGUAACGCGUGGGAACCUGCCCUUAGGUUCGGAAUAACUCCCCGAGAGGGGUGCUAAUACCGGAUAAUGUCUUCGGACCAAAGAUUUAUCGCCUUUGGAUGGGCCCGCGUUUGAUUAGCUAGUUGGUAGGGUAAAAGCCUACCAAGGCGACGAUCCCUAGCUGGUCUGAGAGGAUGAUCAGCCACACUGGGACUGAGACACGGCCCAGACUCCUACGGGAGGCAGCAGUGGGGAAUAUUGGACAAUGGGCGAAAGCCUGAUCCAGCCAUGCCGCGUGAGUGAUGAAGGCCUUAGGGUUGUAAAGCUCUUUUACCCGGGAUGAUAAUGACAGUACCGGGAGAAUAAGCUCCGGCUAACUCCGUG